ACUGACAGCCAUACCACCCUGAAUGCGCCCGAUCUGGUAAGCUAAGCAGGGUCGGGCCUGGUUAGUACUAGGAUGGGAGGACUCUAAUUCUCUUUCUUAGUUGUGUCUUUGUGUGGCUUUGGUA
rnacentral:rRNA from 1 species